GACGAACGCUGGCGGCGUGCCUAAUACAUGCAAGUCGAACGAAGCUGUUUUAACUGGUGCUUGCACCGACUUAAACAACUGAGUGGCGAACGGGUGAGUAACACGUGGGUAACCUGCCCCAAAGCGGGGGAUAACAUUUGGAAACAGAUGCUAAUACCGCAUAACCACAGAAACCACAUGGUUUCUGUGUCAAAGAUGGUUUCGGCUAUCACUUUGGGAUGGACCCGCGGCGUAGUAGCUAGUUGGUAAGGUAAUGGCUUACCAAGGCAAGGAUCCGUAGCCGAACUGAGAGGUUGAUCGGCCACAUUGGGACUGAGACACGGCCCAAACUCCUACGGGAGGCAGCAGUAGGGAAUCUUCCACAAUGGACGAAAGUCUGAUGGAGCAACGCCGCGUGAGUGAAGAAGGUUUUCGGAUCGUAAAACUCUGUUGUCAGAGAAGAACGUGUGCGAGAGUAACUGUUCGUGCAGUGACGGUAUCUGGCCAGAAAGCCACGGCUAACUACGUGCCAGCCGCCGCGGUAA
rnacentral:rRNA from 1 species